rnacentral:tRNA from 1 species
GCCGGGUUAGCUCAGUUGGUUAAAGCAUGGUGCUAAUAACACCAAGUUCACAGGUUCAAUCCCUGCUUACUGCA